rnacentral:lncRNA from 1 species
UGAGCUUACUCUCUUGUUCAGCUUCUAAUGAACAUUGUUGUGAAGGUUCAUCGUUUGAGAUUCACAAAACAAACAAGUGAAGGAAACAAUAGAAAACACUUAGAAUAAUAAUAAUAUACAACAGAAGAAGCUAAAAGCUAGAAAAUAUCAAGAACUUGUAAAAUGGUAGUGUUACAUAGUGGACAGUUCCCUCUUUGUACCCAAAGCUCUCUCGAACACAAUCUGCAAAACGUAUGUCCACACGGUAUAAAAGCCGCACCUUUACUCCUUAUCAUACACACACAACAACUCAACUCCACCGU